rnacentral:lncRNA from 1 species
UUGGCUUGUAAACGGGUCAUCUAUUCUGGCUGGAGGUCAAGUGCAAUUCUUUCAAGUCAUGGGUCACCCAGCACCUUAUAGUUAUGAUAUAGCCAAUUUAGAUUUGCCCAAAAUUAUUUUCCAAAAGCACAAAAGAAAUGGACCCGAUUCGGACCCGAUUUGAAGUCAAAUUUGUACUCAAUGUGCAUUUUAUCUCUAAUUUAUACUAAUCAAUGUUAAACCCAAAUAUAAUAUUAAUCCAGUGAAUUUAUCAUUAUCGGUUAACAAUAACACUAAUUUUAGUAACAUGUAGGUCGCACUUUUGUGCUCUCAUCACAACCCCCAACUAGCUUAUUGCUAGUCUCUAGCAAUUCAGUGCGAAAAUGAUAAAAUGAGAGAGCAAAAGUGUUAUUUAUUAUAUAAAUAUCCUAAGAUAAAUACUCA